UGUGCCGUCCGCCCGUCCGUCUGCCCGCAGGCAUUGCCCGAGCCAGCCGAGCCGCCAGAGCCGCGGGCCGCGGGGGUGUCGCGGGCCCAACCCCAGGAUGCUCCCCUGCGCCUCCUGCCUACCCGGGUCUCUACUGCUCUGGGCGCUGCUACUGUUGCUCUUGGGAUCAGCUUCUCCUCAGGAUUCUGAAGAGCCCGACAGCUACACGGAAUGCACAGAUGGCUAUGAGUGGGACCCAGACAGCCAGCACUGCCGGGGUGUGUGUGCCUGGGGGACCAAACACCCCCAGGAACCCGGAAAGGGAUUGAUAGCUGCUUUCCAAGGGACAGCCCCACCUCCAAGAACUGCCGUGGGAGCCCAGCAGCCCGUUCUAUGCCCAGCUCUGCUACACAGAGGCCAGCUCUGGCUCUCUGGAGGCCAGUUGAGCUAGGGGUGGCCUCAUCCUCUCCCAGAAACCCAGGAAACCUUGUCCCUACCCCUCAGAGGAGCUGGAUCCUGUACGCCUUCUCUGAACCACUCUCCUGUCCCAGCUCUUUGUCUCAUCACAACCUGGGAGGGUAGCGUCCCCAGGGGUGGGUAAGGAGGCCCCCCAUCUUGGGCUGAGCUAGGGCUAGGGCCGUGGGGAGGGAUAGAGACCCACUUGCAGGCCGAGAAUGAGGGCAACAGUGGGAACAGCUGCCCCAUCUCCAGCCUUGGCCAACCCUGGGGAGGGGUCCUGAGCAGGCAGACUUAGCUUGUUGAGCAGAGUGGGAAGGCUUUGCUGGGGCCACACAUCUCAGAGAAGGCCGAGCUGGGUUCCUGCCUCCGCUCC
rnacentral:lncRNA from 1 species